AGGAUUAUAUUUAAUUAUAAUAUUUGAUUUGCAAUCAAAAGGUGUUUCAAUGAAACUAAUCUAA
rnacentral:tRNA from 1 species